UACGUAGGGUGCGAGCGUUUGUCCGGAAUUAUUGGGCGUAAAGAGCUUGUAGGCGGUUUGUCGCGUCUGCCGUGAAAUCCGGGACUCAACCCGGACUUGCGGUGGGUACGGGCAGACUAGAGUGUGGUAGGGAGACUGGAAUUCCUGGUGUAGCGGUGGAAUGCGCAGAUAUCAGGAGGAACACCGAUGGCGAAGGCAGGUCUCUGGGCCAUUACUGACACUGAGAAGCGAAAGCAUGGGGAGCGAACAGG
rnacentral:rRNA from 1 species